rnacentral:rRNA from 1 species
AUACGGAGGGUCCAAGCGUUAUCCGGAAUCAUUGGGUUUAAAGGGUGCGCAGGCGGUUUAUUAAGUCAGUGGUGAAAUCUCGGGGCUCAACUCCGAAACUGCCAUUGAUACUGAUAAACUUGAGUUCAGUUGGAGUAGGCGGAAUGUGUAGUGUAGCGGUGAAAUGCUUAGAUAUUACACAGAACACCGAUAGCGAAGGCAGCUUACUAAACUGAUACUGACGCUGAGGCACGAAAGCGUGGGGAGCGAACAGGAUUAGAUACCCGAGUAGUCC